AGUACUUACCAUUCUCGGUGCCAGGAUGAAGGAGACAGUGGACAGUCCUCGGCCUUCUGGAGCUGACGUUCUCGAGACUGUGUGGUCUGGCUGCACCAGUAGCUUGCAAGUAAGAUGAAAAGUUUUACGCAGAAUGAGCCAUCCAGGGCUGAACUGGCAGCUCCUCAGCUCUCCUCUCCACUGUCGCUAGAGUGCAGCUCCCUCCUCAGGAUGAUCUCGUGAUUGCAACACGACUGAAGCAGCCCUGGGUGGGUCUUCAGCGUGUCUUCACUCCAGGUGACAGUUACAUCAUCCUGAAAGAACAGGAAAAGCUGCUAUGAUGAGAAACUCUGCAGCAAAGGGACCCAACCUUUGCAAGUUUACAAGUCGUUGGAUUUCAAAUGGCAUGAAAGGAAGCCCUUUGGGCCGGAAGUUGACAUGUCAUUCUGUAGCCCUUAGCCUGACCUUCUCCAAACAUCAGGUCCCACACAAAGACACUCUGCUUCAAAUGACUUUUUUACCUCCAGGCUGGUAACCCUAUCGUCUUCCUGAAUGACACCUCCGCCACAUCCACUCUUGUCAGGAAGGAAGCCUUUUCAUUCCUUGAAGCUCAAAGCCAGUAAUGUUCUUCACAGUGACCUUGAGGGGUGGCUCACCCCCUAGUCCUUGCCAACUACAGAUUAAUUUCUAUUGUUUAGCCCAGAGGAACCUGUCAGGGAACUGUGGAUCCACGUAAGCUCUCUGAUGGGCUAAAGUCAGUUUAAAUUUAUUUGCAGAUGAACUUAUUUGUGAAGGAUAUUUUGAUGGGAAUUAUAGGCUAUUUAAAACUCUCUCUGUUAGAAAAAUAGUGCGAAAUUUCAGUAGAGAUGAAUAUAUUUGCCUCCACGGAAGGACUGCAAAAUUAUUAAAUGAAAAAAAAUGGAGGUUAAACUGUUCUAUUUUGUUAACUAAACCAAGAGAAACACAGCCAAAGACUAGAUUUGAAGGCUGGCCUCAAAUAGUUUCCUGUAAUGAAAAUUGGGAUGAGAGAAACAAUCCAAACUCAAAGAGAACCAACCUUGAUUUAAAUAAAGCUGUUG
rnacentral:lncRNA from 1 species